UCCCUAGGGAAGGGAACUGUUGCCUCCAGUCCACUUACUGCAUCCACCUUAAAGUUCCUGCUUGUGCUGCCACUGAAUGCCCUUGUCCACUGGGCUUGUUGGGAGGUUCAUCCUUGUGUAUCAUCCUCCAUGGGCACGAGUAGAGUGGACACCGCACACCACACCUUUUUCUGGGACUAAUGGCUUUCUAUCCCAAUUCCUGCGGAUUUGAAGAAUCAAGGACUUGGACCUGGUUGAAUGGUCACAGGUUGUUCAGGGCUUCGCUGAAGGGGGAUCAGAAGAUGUGUCUCCAUGGAUGGCAAGGCAGCAGGGGUUGUGCCCUGGUGACAGGGAGGCACUGGUGGGUCAGUGGGUGCUUCCAUGAGGGCUUACUUGGAAACCGUGUUCACAUUUUGGGGCAGGACCGAGUGAGGGGGUUUGGGUAGAGUCAUUAGAGAUUAAGGGACAUUGAAGCCUUCCCUGUGGCUUCACUAGCACUUCUUCCUCACUGGGCUGAAGCAAGGAGGUGGAAAGACGUCCCAGAGAAGAAGCUGAAUCUGAAGCCCAGGUUCAGCUUUGGUUCUAACAGGGCUCAGGAGAAGCUGCGUGCAGAUCUGUUUUUGUCCUUGAAGGGAUAGAAGCUAUCCAGUGGAAAUGGAAAUUGACAAAAAGCCUGCAUUGAAUCCAUCAGUUAAUCAACAGGGAUAUAUUGACAGGGUGAUUAACUCUAUUAGAAGAUCAUGGCUCUAGACAAUUCUACUUAAAACCCAAGUCAAGGUGGUUGAAAAAGGAUGUUUUCCUGUCUGGCCCAGCAUCUGCACGUUUCGUGGAUUGGUGCGAGAGGAAGAUGUCUGGGAGAGGGAGUUUGGGUUGUUUAUUUAUUUGAAAAAACUGACUGGGUGUUCUGUUCAGGACACAUCGGCGCAUUUUGGAGCACAUUCUCCAGACAGACAGGCACGCGCAUGGCCACACACUCAUAGAAACACACACUUAUAUUAUGCACCUAGGAAAUUUUACACAGAGGCUUC